GACGAACGCUGGCGGCGUGCUUAACACAUGCAAGUCGAACGGAAAGGCCCUGCUUUUGUGGGGUGCUCGAGUGGAGAACGGGUGAGUAACACGUGAGUAACCUGCCCUUGACUUUGGGAUAACUUCAGGAAACUGGGGCUAAUACCGGAUAGGAGCUCCUGCUGCAUGGUGGGGGUUGGAAAGUUUCGGCGGUUGGGGAUGGACUCGCGGCUUAUCAGCUUGUUGGUGGGGUAGUGGCUUACCAAGGCUUUGACGGGUAGCCGGCCUGAGAGGGUGACCGGCCACAUUGGGACUGAGAUACGGCCCAGACUCCUACGGGAGGCAGCAGUGGGGAAUAUUGCACAAUGGGCGGAAGCCUGAUGCAGCAACGCCGCGUGGGGGAUGACGGCCGUCGGGUUGUAAACCGCUUUCGCCGGUGACGAAGCGGGAGUGACGGUAAUGGGUGAAGAAGCACCGGCUAACUACGUG
rnacentral:rRNA from 1 species